UACCAGACUCCUACGGGAGGCAGCAGUAGGGAAUCUUUCACAAUGGGCGAAAGCCUGAUGGAGCAACGCCGCGUGCAGGAUGAAGGCCUUCGGGUUGUAAACUGCUUUUAUAAGCGAGAAAUAUGAUGGUAACUUAUGAAUAAGGAUCGGCUAACUACGUGCCAGCAGCCGCGGUAAUACGGAGGGUGCAAGCGUUACUCGGAAUCACUGGGCGUAAAGAGUGCGUAGGCGGGGUAAUAAGUCAGAUGUGAAAUCCUGUAGCUUAACUACAGAACUGCAUUUGAAACUGUUACUCUGGAGUGUGGGAGAGGUAGGUGGAAUUCUUGGUGUAGGGGUAAAAUCCGUAGAGAUCAAGAGGAAUACUCAUUGCGAAGGCGACCUGCUGGAACAUUACUGACGCUGAUGCACGAAAGCGUGGGGAGCAAACAGGAUUAGAUACCCUCGUAA
rnacentral:rRNA from 1 species